rnacentral:rRNA from 1 species
AGGGUUUGAUCAUGGCUCAGGACGAACGCUGGCGGCGUGCUUAACACAUGCAAGUCGAACGAUGAAGCUGGAGCUUGCUCCGGUGGAUUAGUGGCGAACGGGUGAGUAACACGUGAGAAAUCUGCCCCUGACUCUGGGAUAACUGCGGGAAACUGUAGCUAAUACCGGAUACGUAUGUAGACUUCUCAUGAAGCUUACAUUAAAGGUUACGGCAAAAGAUGAGUAUGCGUCCUAUUAGUUUGUUGGUGUGGUAACGGCACACCAAGACUACGAUAGGUAGGGGCCCUGAGAGGGGGACCCCCCACACUGGUACUGAGACACGGACCAGACUCCUACGGGAGGCAGCAGUGAGGAAUAUUGGACAAUGGAGGCAACUCUGAUCCAGCCAUGCCGCGUGCAGGAAGACUGCCCUAUGGGUUGUAAACUGCUUUUAUACAGGAAGAAACACUCCCUCGUGAGGGAGCUUGACGGUACUGUAAGAAUAAGGAUCGGCUAACUCCGUGCCAGCAGCCGCGGUAAUACGGAGGAUCCAAGCGUUAUCCGGAAUCAUUGGGUUUAAAGGGUCCGUAGGUGGAUAAUUAAGUCAGAGGUGAAAUCCUGCAGCUCAACUGUAGAAUUGCCUUUGAUACUGGUUAUCUUGAGUUAUUAUGAAGUAGUUAGAAUAUGUAGUGUAGCGGUGAAAUGCAUAGAUAUUACAUAGAAUACCGAUUGCGAAGGCAGAUUACUAAUAAUAUACUGACGCUGAGGCCCGAAAGCGUGGGGAGCGAACAGGAUUAGAUACCCUGGUAGUCCACGCCGUAAACGAUGGAUACUAGCUGUUCGGAUUUAUCUGAGUGGCUAAGCGAAAGUGAUAAGUAUCCCACCUGGGGAGUACGUUCGCAAGAAUGAAACUCAAAGGAAUUGACGGGGGCCCGCACAAGCGGUGGAGCAUGUGGUUUAAUUCGAUGAUACGCGAGGAACCUUACCAGGGCUUAAAUGUAGAUUGACAGGUUUAGAGAUAGAUCCUCCUUCGGGCUAGUUACAAGGUGCUGCAUGGUUGUCGUCAGCUCGUGCCGUGAGGUGUCAGGUUAAGUCCUAUAACGAGCGCAACCCCUGUCGUUAGUUGCCAGCGAGUCAUGUCGGGAACUCUAACGAGACUGCCAGUGUAAACUGUGAGGAAGGUGGGGAUGACGUCAAAUCAUCACGGCCCUUACGCCUUGGGCUACACACGUGCUACAAUGGUAGGUACAGAGAGCAGCCACUGGGUGACCAGAUGCGAAUCUUCAAAACCGUUCUCAGUUCGGAUCGAAGUCUGCAACUCGACUUCGUGAAGCUGGAAUCGCUAGUAAUCGGAUAUCAGCCAUGAUCCGGUGAAUACGUUCCCGGGCCUUGUACACACCGCCCGUCAAGCCAUGGAAGCUGGGGGUGCCUGAAGUCGGUGACCGAAAGGAGCUGCCUAGGGUAAAACUGGUAACUAGGGCUAAGUCGGAACAAGGUAGCCGUA